AGAGUUUGAUCCUGGCUCAGAUUGAACGCUGGCGGCAGGCCUAACACAUGCAAGUCGAACGGUAACAGGAUGUGCUUGCACAUCGCUGACGAGUGGCGGACGGGUGAGUAAUGCUUGGGAAUUUGCCUUUGCGAGGGGGAUAACAGUUGGAAACGACUGCUAAUACCGCAUAACGUCUACGGACCAAAGGGGGCUUUUAGCUCUCGCGUGAAGAGAAGCCCAAGUGAGAUUAGCUAGUUGGUGAGGUAAAGGCUCACCAAGGCGACGAUCUCUAGCUGUUCUGAGAGGAAGAUCAGCCACACUGGGACUGAGACACGGCCCAGACUCCUACGGGAGGCAGCAGUGGGGAAUAUUGCACAAUGGGGGAAACCCUGAUGCAGCCAUGCCGCGUGUGUGAAGAAGGCCUUCGGGUUGUAAAGCACUUUCAGUUGUGAGGAAAGGUUAGUAGUUAAUACCUGCUAGCUGUGACGUUAGCAACAGAAGAAGCACCGGCUAACUCCGUGCCAGCAGCCGCGGUAAUACGGAGGGUGCGAGCGUUAAUCGGAAUUACUGGGCGUAAAGCGCACGCAGGCGGAUUGUUAAGCUAGAGGUGAAAGCCCCGCGCUCAACGUGGGAAUUGCCUUUAGAACUGGCAGUCUAGAGUCUUGGAGAGGGGAGUGGAAUUCCAGGUGUAGCGGUGAAAUGCGUAGAGAUCUGGAGGAACAUCAGUGGCGAAGGCGACUCCCUGGCCAAAGACUGACGCUCAUGUGCGAAAGUGUGGGUAGCGAACAGGAUUAGAUACCCUGGUAGUCCACACCGUAAACGCUGUCUACUAGCUGUUUGUGACUUUAAGUCGUGAGUAGCGAAGCUAACGCGCUAAGUAGACCGCCUGGGGAGUACGGCCGCAAGGUUAAAACUCAAAUGAAUUGACGGGGGCCCGCACAAGCGGUGGAGCAUGUGGUUUAAUUCGAUGCAACGCGAAGAACCUUACCUACACUUGACAUGCUGAGAAGUUACUAGAGAUAGUUUCGUGCCUUCGGGAACUCAGACACAGGUGCUGCAUGGCUGUCGUCAGCUCGUG
rnacentral:rRNA from 1 species